UUUAAAGGGGAGACACACCCAGGGUGUUGUUGAGAGUUGGAUGUCGUGAAGUCUAGAAGUAGACAGUGCUAAGGAAAUACAAGUAAAAGUACUAGGUACUUAAGCUAGCUAGUGAUAGCUAAGUGAGAAUGGGUAGUUGUUACCCCAACAAGGAGCAUUAGAGGCUUAGAAGCCGUGGUUCAGCCACAGUGAGGGACCAAGUGCUUAGGCAGGGUCUAGCGGACAACCCAAGAAGAAGGUCAAGGAAAAGUCCUACCCGGAAAGGUCAGUGAGGCAUUGAAGCGGUGUCGGCCUGGCUGAAGGAGGGAGGUGGCACACAGUAAAAGUCCUGAGUCGGGGCGAGGUGGAGGGUCGCAGGUUGUGUGACGGACUGCCUGACCGACUAGGUGGUGCAAAAGACCUUGGUUGGGUUCGUGGAUCCUGGCAAACUUGGAGGCUUCUUGAAAAUCCUGAAUGUGUCCCUGGUGAUGUCCUGAAGUGCACUGUAUCCCGAGCUCCUAACUGAGGCUGGGUCUAAAAAAGAAAAAGUGAAAGAAGGGGUCCAUCAGAGACCCCCAAGAUCUCAUCACUGGGGCCUGGUCUGUCAAGGAGAAGUAGAGAUACGGAAUGUUGACACAAUUGGCAGCCGCCACGGCAGCGAAGGGAACCCAUCGUGCAAUCAAAGGAGGAGCUUUCUAAAGGGAAACAAUGGAAAAAAUAUGAGAAAUGGAGAAAAUCCAAGGGACGCAGAAACACUUGAACUUACAGACACGAUGAUCUGUUGAUGUGAUUUGAAGCAACAAGGGAAUUCAAAAGGACAGCGAUACAGUAUAUGUUUGCCCAUAUUCAACUAUU